rnacentral:rRNA from 1 species
UACGAAGGGGGCUAGGCGUUGCUCGGAAUCACUGGGCGUAAAGGGUGCGUAGGCGGGUCUUUAAGUCAGGGGUGAAAUCCUGGAGCUCAACUCCAGAACUGCCUUUGAUACUGAGGAUCUUGAGUUCGGGAGAGGUGAGUGGAACUGCGAGUGUAGAGGUGAAAUUCGUAGAGUAUUCGCAAGAACACCAGUGGCGAAGGCGGCUCACUGGCCCCGAGUACUGACGCUGAGGCACGAAAGCGUGGGGAGCAA